CCUACGGGAGGCAGCAGUGAGGAAUAUUGGUCAAUGGACGCAAGUCUGAACCAGCCAUGCCGCGUGCAGGAAGACGGCUCUAUGAGUUGUAAACUGCUUUUGUACGAGGGUAAACGCAGAUACGCGUAUCUGUCUGAAAGUAUCGUACGAAUAAGGAUCGGCUAACUCCGUGCCAGCAGCCGCGGUAAUACGGAGGAUUCAAGCUUUAUCCGGAUUUAUUGGGUUUAAAGGGUGCGUAGGCGGUCGGAUAAGUUAGGGGUGAAAUCCCGAGGCUCAACUUCGGAAUUGCCUUUGAUACUGUUCGGCUAGAGAGUAGUUGCGGUAGGCGGAAUGUAUGGUGUAGCGGUGAAAUGCUUAGAGAUCAUGCAGAACACCGAUUGCGAAGGCAGCUUACCGGGCUACUACUGACGUUGAGGCACGAAAGCGUGGGGAGCGAACAGGAUUAGAUACCCCGGUAGUC
rnacentral:rRNA from 1 species